GCGGUCGUAGCUCAGUUGGUAGAGCACAAGAUUGUGGCUCUUGUGGUCGCGGGUUCGAUUCCCGUCGAUCGCCCCA
rnacentral:tRNA from 1 species